GACGAACGCUGGCGGCGUGCUUAACACAUGCAAGUCGAACGGAAAGGCCCCUUUGGGGGUACUCGAGUGGCGAACGGGUGAGUAACACGUGAGUAACCUGCCCUUGACUUCGGGAUAACUUCAGGAAACUGGGGCUAAUACCGGAUAGGAAUCCUUGCUGCAUGGUGGGGGUUGGAAAGCUUCGGCGGUUUUGGAUGGACUCGCGGCUUAUCAGCUUGUUGGUGGGGUAGUGGCUUACCAAGGCUUUGACGGGUAGCCGGCCUGAGAGGGCGACCGGCCACAUUGGGACUGAGAUACGGCCCAGACUCCUACGGGAGGCAGCGGCGGGGAAUAUUGCACAAUGGGCGGAAGCCUGAUGCAGCAACGCCGCGUGCGGGAUGACGGCCUUCGGGUUGUAAACCGCUUUCAGCAGGGGCGAAGCUUGUGGUGACGGUACCUGCAGAAGAAGCACCGGCUAACUACGUG
rnacentral:rRNA from 1 species